rnacentral:rRNA from 1 species
GACGAACGCUGGCGGCGUGCUUAACACAUGCAAGUCGAACGGAAAGGCCCUGCUUUUGUGGGGUGCUCGAGUGGCGAACGGGUGAGUAACACGUGAGUAACCUGCUCUUGACUUUGGGAGAACUUCAGGAAACUGGGGCUAAUACCGGAUAGGAGCUCCUGCUGCAUGGUGGGGGUUGGAAAGUUUCGGCGGUUGGGGAUGGACUCGCGGCUUAUCAGCUUGUUGGUGGGGGAGUGGCUUACCAAGGCUUUGACGGGUAGCCGGCCUGAGAGGGUGACCGGCCACAUUGGGCCUGAGAUACGGCCCAGACUCCUACGGGAGGCAGCAGUGGGGAAUAUUGCACAAUGGGCGGAAGCCUGAUGCAGAAACGCCGCGUGCGGGAUGACGGCCUUCGGGUUGUAAACCGCUUUCGCCUGUGACGAAGCGUGAGUGACGGUAAUGGGUAAAGAAGCACCGGCUAACUACGUG